GACGAACGCUGGCGGCGUGCUUAACACAUGCAAGUCGAACGGAAAGGCCCUGCUUUUGUGGGGUGCUCGAGUGGCGAACGGGUGAGUAACACGUGAGUAACCUGCCCUUGACUUUAGGAUAACUUCAGGAAACUGGGGCUAAUACCGGAUAGGAGCUCCUGCUGCAUGGUGGGGGUUGGAAGGUUUCGGCGGUUGGGGAUGGACUCGCGGCUUAUCAGCUUGUUGGUGGGGUAGUGGCUUACCAAGGCUUUGACGGGUAGCCGGCCUGAGAGGGUGACCGGCCACAUUGGGACUGAGAUACGGCCCAGACUCCUACGGGAGGCAGCAGUGGGGAAUAUUGCACAAUGGGCGGAAGCCUGAUGCAGCAACGCCGCGUGCGGGAUGACGGCCUUCAGGUUGUAAACCGCUUUCGCCUGUGACGAAGCGUGAGUGACGGUAAUGGGUAAAGAAGCACCGGCUAACUACGUG
rnacentral:rRNA from 1 species